rnacentral:rRNA from 1 species
CACAUGCAAGUCGAACGGAAAGGCCCUUCGGGGUACUCGAGUGGCGAACGGGUGAGUAACACGUGGGUGAUCUGCCCUGCACUUUGGGAUAAGCCUGGGAAACUGGGUCUAAUACCGAAUACACCCUUCUGGCUGCAUGGUCUGGUUGGGGAAAGCUUUUGCGGUGUGGGAUGGGCCCGCGGCCUAUCAGCUUGUUGGUGAGGUUACGGCUCACCAAGGCGACGACGGGUAGCCGGCCUGAGAGGGUGACCGGCCACACUGGGACUGAGAUACGGCCCAGACUCCUACGGGAGGCAGCAGUGGGGAAUAUUGCACAAUGGGCGCAAGCCUGAUGCAGCGACGCCGCGUGAGGGAUGACGGCCUUCGGGUUGUAAACCUCUUUCGCCAGGGACGAAGCGCAAGUGACGGUACCUGGAGAAGAAGGACCGGCCAACUACGUGCCAGCAGCCGCGGUAAUACGUAGGGUCCGAGCGUUGUCCGGAAUUACUGGGCGUAAAGAGCUCGUAGGUGGUUUGUCGCGUUGUUCGUGAAAACUCACAGCUCAACUGUGGGCGUGCGGGCGAUACGGGCAGACUGGAGUACUGCAGGGGAGACUGGAAUUCCUGGUGUAGCGGUGGAAUGCGCAGAUAUCAGGAGGAACACCGGUGGCGAAGGCGGGUCUCUGGGCAGUAACUGACGCUGAGGAGCGAAAGCGUGGGGAGCGAACAGGAUUAGAUACCCUGGUAGUCCACGCCGUAAACGGUGGGUACUAGGUGUGGGUUUCCUUCCUUGGGAUCCGUGCCGUAGCUAACGCAUUAAGUACCCCGCCUGGGGAGUACGGCCGCAAGGCUAAAACUCAAAGAAAUUGACGGGGGCCCGCACAAGCGGCGGAGCAUGUGGAUUAAUUCGAUGCAACGCGAAGAACCUUACCUGGGUUUGACAUGCACAGGACGUGCCUAGAGAUAGGUAUUCCCUUGUGGCCUGUGUGCAGGUGGUGCAUGGCUGUCGUCAGCUCGUGUCGUGAGAUGUUGGGUUAAGUCCCGCAACGAGCGCAACCCUUAUCUUAUGUUGCCAGCGCGUAAUGGCGGGGACUCGUGAGAGACUGCCGGGGUCAACUCGGAGGAAGGUGGGGAUGACGUCAAGUCAUCAUGCCCCUUAUGUCCAGGGCUUCACACAUGCUACAAUGGCCGGUACAAAGGGCUGCGA